rnacentral:rRNA from 1 species
UUCCGGUUGAUCCUGCCAGACCUGACUGCUAUCGGAUUGAUACUAAGCCAUGCGAGUCAUUGUAGCAAUACAAGGCAGACGGCUCAGUAACGCGUAGUCAACCUACCCUAUGGACGGGGAUAACCUCGGGAAACUGAGAAUAAUACCCGAUAGAACAUUAUACCUGGAAUGGUUUAUGUUUCAAAUAAUUUAUUGCCGUAGGAUGGGACUGCGGCCUAUCAGUUUGUUGGUGAGGUAAUGGCCCACCAAGACUAUUACAGGUACGGGCUCUGAGAGGAGUAGCCCGGAGAUGGGUACUGAGACACGGACCCAGGCCCUAUGGGGCGCAGCAGGCGAGAAAACUUUGCAAUGUGCGAAAGCACGACAAGGUUAAUCCGAGUGGUUUCUGCUAAAGGAACCUUUUGUUAGUCAUAGAACCACUAAUGAAUAAGGGGUGGGCAAGUUCUGGUGUCAGCCGCCGCGGUAAAACCAGCACCUCAAGUGGUCAGGAGGAUUAUUGGGCCUAAAGCAUCCGUAGCCUGCUCUGUAAGUUUUCGGUUAAAUCUAUAUGCUCAACAUAUAGGCUGCCGGAAAUACUGCAGAGCUAGGAAGUGGGAGAGGUAGACGGUACUCCGUAGGAAGGGGUAAAAUCCUUUGAUCUAUGGAUGACCACCUGUGGCGAAGGCGGUCUACCAGAACACGUUCGACGGUGAGGGAUGAAAGCUGGGGGAGCAAACCGGAUUAGAUACCCGGGUAGUCCCAGCUGUAAACUAUGCAAACUCGGUGGUGCAUUGGCUUGAUGCCAAUGCAGUGCCGCAGGGAAGCCGUUAAGUUUGCCGCCUGGGAAGUACGUACGCAAGUAUGAAACUUAAAGGAAUUGGCGGGGGAGCACCACAAGGGGUGAAGCCUGCGGUUCAAUUGGAGUCAACGCCGGG